UGGCCAGACUCCUACGGGAGGCAGCAGUGAGGAAUAUUGGUCAAUGGGCUUACGCCUGAACCAGCCAAGUCGCGUGGGGGAAGACUGCCCUAUGGGUUGUAAACCUCUUUUGUCAGGGAGCAACGCCGGCUACGUGUAGCCGGACUGAGAGUACCUGAAGAAAAAGCAUCGGCUAACUCCGUGCCAGCAGCCGCGGUAAUACGGAGGAUGCGAGCGUUAUCCGGAUUUAUUGGGUUUAAAGGGUGCGUAGGCGGACAGUCAAGUCAGCGGUAAAAAUGCGGUGCUCAACGCCGUACAGCCGUUGAAACUGGCAGUCUUGAGUGGGCGAGAAGUAUGCGGAAUGCGUGGUGUAGCGGUGAAAUGCAUAGAUAUCACGCAGAACUCCGAUUGCGAAGGCAGCAUACCGGCGCCCGACUGACGCUGAGGCACGAAAGCGUGGGUAUCGAACAGGAUUAGAUACCCGGGUAC
rnacentral:rRNA from 1 species